UUUUUUAGCCAGCAUACAACAAAAUAUCUUAUGAUUCAACCAGAAAUAAAUAAUCAUGAAAUUCCGGGAAUAACAAAAGUAGAGCAGCUAAACCGCAAUGAAAAUGUAAACAAAAAUGAAAAAUAGUACAUUAAAAGUUUUCAACUUCGGCAACUCGAAGAAGGUAAAGAAAAUAAUAUUUUAGCUAGAAAGCACUCCCAAUGCUUAGAGCCUGCAUAACUCUCAAGGGUCUGGCUAUUCUCAAAACCAAAAACCAAAACAACCCAAGAAAGAUAAUAGGAUUAAUUCAUCCUCCUAAUGAACUCAUUUAUGUAAUCCUCACGAUUUCCAGCAUCACCACCCUCCACAUA
rnacentral:misc_RNA from 1 species